GAUGAACGCUAGCGAUAGGCCUAACACAUGCAAGUCGAGGGGCAGCAUAGAGUAGCAAUACUUUGAUGGCGACCGGCGCACGGGUGAGUAACACGUAUGCAACCUACCUACAUCAGGGGAAUAACCCGGAGAAAUUCGGACUAAUACCGCAUAAUACAGGGAUGCCGCAUGGCAAUAUUUGUUAAAGAUUUAUCGGAUGUAGAUGGGCAUGCGUUCCAUUAGCUUGUUGGUGAGGUAACGGCUCACCAAGGCAACGAUGGAUAGGGGAACUGAGAGGUUUGUCCCCCACACUGGAACUGAGACACGGACCAGACUCCUACGGGAGGCAGCAAUGAGGAAUAUUGGUCAAUGGACGAGAGUCUGAACCAGCCAAAUCGCGCGAAGGAAGACUGCCCUACGGGUUGUAAACUUCUUUUGUACAGGAAUAAAAGACAUUACGUGUAAUGUAUUGCAUGUACUGUACGAAUAAGCAUCGGCUAACUCCGUGCCAGCCGCCGUAACAC
rnacentral:rRNA from 1 species